ACGCUCGACACCUACGGUAGGCAGCAGUGGGGAAUAUUGCACAAUGGGGGAAACCCUGAUGCAGCGACGCCGCGUGAGCGAAGAAGUAUUUCGGUAUGUAAAGCUCUAUCAGCAGGGAAGAAACUGACGGUACCUGACUAAGAAGCACCGGCUAAAUACGUACCAGCAGCCGCGGUAAUCUGAGCGGGCUGGCAAGGC
rnacentral:rRNA from 1 species